rnacentral:lncRNA from 1 species
GGGAGUAAUACUGUGUGCACUGUUUAAUGGAUACUAUUCAGGAAAGAAAAAUCAAUACUGGGAAAUCACAAGUGAAGAAGUGAAAGGGAUUGCGGCUGGCGUUUCAGCAGCAGUGGCAGCGCGCGGCGGGAGUCCCCCUCCCCCUCCCGAUACCCGGGGCUGCGCUGUGGGAAGGCCGAACCCCUGGGAGAGCGGGGCGCAGUGCUGUUCUUUCUUUGGGGGUCUCUGCAGACACCCACCCUGAAACCUUCACCCGCGCGCCACAGCACUGUGCGGCCUGUUACAGUACCGUCGGGUUUGGACAUUACCACGUCCACGGUCUUCCACUGCACCUA